UAGGGAAUAUUGGACAAUGGGGGCAACCCUGAUCCAGCCAUGCCGCGUGAGUGAAGAAGGCCCUCGGGUUGUAAGGCUCUUUUGUCCGGAAAGAAAAGCUUCGGGUUAAUACCCCGGGGUUCUGACGGUACCGGAAGAAUAAGCACCGGCUAACUUCGUGCCAGCAGCCGCGGUAAUACGAAGGGUGCAAGCGUUACUCGGAAUUACUGGGCGUAAAGCGUGCGUAGGUGGUUGUUUAAGUCUGAUGUGAAAGCCCUGGGCUCAACCUGGGAAUGGCAUUGGAAACUGGGCAGCUAGAGUGCGGUAGAGGGUAGUGGAAUUCCCGGUGUAGCAGUGAAAUGCGUAGAGAUCGGGAGGAACAUCUGUGGCGAAGGCGACUGCCUGGACCAGCACUGACACUGAGGCACGAAAGCGUGGGGAGCAAACA
rnacentral:rRNA from 1 species